GGCAGCACGGACUUCGGUCUGGUGGCGAGUGGCGAACGGGUGAGUAAUAUAUCGGAACAUACCCAGUAGUGGGGGAUAACUAUCCGAAAGGAUAGCUAAUACCGCAUACGAUCUGUGGAUGAAAGCAGGGGAUCUUCGGACCUUGUGCUAUUGGAAUGGCCGAUAUCUGAUUAGCUAGUUGGUAGGGUAAAAGCCUACCAAGGCGACGAUCAGUAGCUGGUCUGAGAGGACGACCAGCCACACUGGAACUGAGACACGGUCCAGACUCCUACGGGAGGCAGCAGUGGGGAAUUUUGGACAAUGGGGGCAACCCUGAUCCAGCAAUGCCGCGUGAGUGAAGAAGGCCCUCGGGUUGUAAAGCUCUUUUGUCAGGGAAGAAACGGAGUUCUCUAAUAUAGGAUUCUAAUGACGGUACCUGAAGAAUAAGCACCGGCUAACUACGUGCCAGCAGCCGCGGUAAUACGUAGGGUGCAAGCGUUAAUCGGAAUUACUGGGCGUAAAGCGUGCGCAGGCGGUUUUGUAAGUCUGAUGUGAAAUCCCCGGGCUCAACCUGGGAACUGCAUUGGAGACUGCAAGGCUAGAGUGUGUCCGAGGGGGGUAGAAUUCCACGUGUAGCAGUGAAAUGCGUAGGGAUGUGGAGGAAUACCGAUGGCGAAGGC
rnacentral:rRNA from 1 species